rnacentral:rRNA from 1 species
GUGAACCUAUCCUGAGCCUUCCUGAUUUAGUCUGGUCUCAGAAGCUAAGCAGGAUUGGGCCUGGUUACUGCCUGGAUAGGAGACUGUUUGGAAUAUUGCAUGCUGUCUGCU